rnacentral:lncRNA from 1 species
CUAGUGCUUUGCCCCUGGCCUUGUGCAGGGAUGGGUACAUAUUUACAAACUAGUACAGGCAGACACAAAUUUCCAUUGACUAAUCUUCCUCUGGCAAGGUGAGUCAUCAUAUAGAAAAGGUUGUUUCUGCUUGUUUUCUGUUUAGAUUAUUAUCCAGCCAGAGCUCCAAAAAAGGCCAGGACAGUAGCUUCAACCAUCUCUGUUCUUCCAUAGUAACAGAGGGAAACUUGGAGAGAUGUCUGUAGCUACAAGCUUUCUGCUUGUAGAAAGAUCUUACUUGGAAAUUACUUUGAAAGAAGCUGGCAAGGAUCCUGGACUGGUACCUCUUCCUAUGAAAAGGCAACUUUGGAACACAACAGUAGCAGA